rnacentral:lncRNA from 1 species
UUCGUGAAAGGAAAUUCUUAGAUUUGGUCGCAAAGGCAAGCUGAGUCCGCUCUUUAUUGGUCCGUAUGAGGUUAUUGAAAGGAUAGGACCAGUGGUUUAUCGGCUAGCUUUACCGUCGGAAUUAGAGAGAAUCCACAAUGUGUUUCAUGUGUCUAUGUUGCUAUGAUAUCGAUCAGAUCCCUCUCAUGUGAUUUCACCAACUGAGGUUGAGAU